UUGGAUGAGAGACGAAUUUCAAAGGGCUGCUGAGAUCAUAUAGCAUAGAAUUAUCUUUCUCAAAUUUGUGUUACUAUGAAACAACUUAAUCCCACACAGUGUUCCGGUAAGCGAGAAGCGGAAAAAAGUGACGAGGGCUUGCUUCUAUUGUGAAGCGAAGCACAGUUUUUUCAAAUAAAGCGUUAUUUAGUAUAAAAAUAAAAAAUAUUAAAUAUUCAUAGAUAAAUAAUCAAGAACUGAGGUAACAUAUUCUUAGAUUAAAAGGUAAACAUAUAAAGCAAAUACAUAACUCAGUCAUAACUCGUCGUAGAACAACAAAAAAACAAAGUAAAAAAAUAGAGAGACAGAAUAGAGCAGCAGCCAGCCAGCAAAACAAAAAAGCAAAAAACAGAGCAUACACAUUACAAACAGAGCAGUAACUGAGAACCUCAAAUCAGAAGAAAAAAGAACAAAGACAUGAAAAUAUUUUAUUUAUAAACUCUUGUAUUUUUUUUGUAUAUUUUUGUGUAUUGAAAAUAACUAGUAACAUCCAUAUUUAUAAAAGUAAAAACCAAAUUAAACUAGUACUAGGAAUCUCUCUAACUAACAAAUCCUCUAAUUAAACAGAAAUAAGUAAAUACCAUAAAUAACAAAUCUUAAACAAUUUAGGAUUUCGACUCCAACUUUGAAUUAUUAUUCCAAUAUUCUCCCG
rnacentral:lncRNA from 1 species